rnacentral:tRNA from 1 species
CGGGGGUUGGCUCAGUAGGUAGAGCUAAGGGCUCGCGACCAGGAGGUCUGGGUUCGAAUCUCCCAAGGGGCGA